rnacentral:rRNA from 1 species
CCUACGGGUGGCAGCAGUGGGGAAUAUUGGACAAUGGGGGGAACCCUGAUCCAGCCAUGCCGCGUGUGUGAAGAAGGCCCUCGGGUUGUAAAGCACUUUCAGUGAGGAAGAACGCCUGGUGGUUAAUACCCAUCAGGAAAGACAUCACUCACAGAAGAAGCACCGGCUAACUCCGUGCCAGCAGCCGCGGUAAUACGGAGGGUGCGAGCGUUAAUCGGAAUUACUGGGCGUAAAGCGCGCGUAGGUGGCUUGAUAAGCCGGUUGUGAAAGCCCCGGGCUCAACCUGGGAACGGCAUCCGGAACUGUCAAGCUAGAGUGGAGGAGGGGAAGGUAGAAUUCCCGGUGUAGCGGUGAAAUGCGUAGAGAUCGGGAGGAAUACCAGUGGCGAAGGCGGCCUUCUGGACUGACACUGACACUGAGGUGCGAAAGCGUGGGUAGCAAACAGGAUUAGAUACCCGAGUAGUC